GAUGAACGCUGGCGGCGUGCCUAAUACAUGCAAGUCGAGCGAACGGACGAGAAGCUUGCUUCUCUGAUGUUAGCGGCGGACGGGUGAGUAACACGUGGAUAACCUACCUAUAAGACUGGGAUAACUUCGGGAAACCGGAGCUAAUACCGGAUAAUAUUUUGAACCGCAUGGUUCAAAAGUGAAAGACGGUCUUGCUGUCACUUAUAGAUGGAUCCGCGCUGCAUUAGCUAGUUGGUAAGGUAACGGCUUACCAAGGCAACGAUGCAUAGCCGACCUGAGAGGGUGAUCGGCCACACUGGAACUGAGACACGGUCCAGACUCCUACGGGAGGCAGCAGUAGGGAAUCUUCCGCAAUGGGCGAAAGCCUGACGGAGCAACGCCGCGUGAGUGAUGAGGGUCUUCGGACCGUAAAACUCUGUUAUUAGGGAAGAACAUAUGUGUAAGUAACUGUGCACAUCUUGACGGUACCUAAUCAGAAAGCCACGGCUAACUACGUG
rnacentral:rRNA from 1 species